UACGGGGGGAGCAAGCGUUGUUCGGAUUUACUGGGCGUAAAGGGCGCGUAGGCGGCCGCCGCAAGUCAGUUGUGAAAUCUCCGAGCUUAACUCGGAAAGGUCAACUGAUACUGCGGGGCUAGAGUGCGGAAGGGGCAACUGGAAUUCUUGGUGUAGCGGUGAAAUGCGUAGAUAUCAAGAGGAACACCUGCGGCGAAGGCGGGUUGCUGGGCCGACACUGACGCUGAGGCGCGAAAGCUAGGGGAGCAAACGGG
rnacentral:rRNA from 1 species